GUUCCCGCUUGCUUCUUCGCCUGUUGCAAGGUUAGGCUUGGGUGAAACAGGGCCGGCGAGGGGGGGGGGGGGGGAGUGAGUAAGGCGACCGCCUUAAGCCCUGCGCUUGCAUAGGCACCGCGCACGAAGCCCUCAACCAGGGAUUACUUUUUUUUAAUAUCAAGUAUGCACUUAAUCGUGUGAAACAGGCCCCGCGAUAUGCCUUUGCUUCAGGCCCCGCACACCCCUAGCACCAGCCCUGGGUGAAAUAUUGCGUUUUUUGUACUGUACUGCUGAAACAAGAUGUUUCGUAGAAGCGGAGAGGCUUCUUGCCGCAGGACAUUUUCUUCUCAGUGGCGUGGUUGAACGAACUUCGUCCGCUAUAGCCGUCGUCGGCCUGUGCGUUCAAACGUCGGGAAUAAAUGCUUCGCUGCACCGUGUCGAUGCCAGCUUUGCGACCGCUCAGGACUGUCUUAGAAUUACAAAAGGACAAUGCAGCUGCACUGCAGGAAAAUCAGAAAAGUGCAAACACACAUCUGCGCUUCUCCUACGUUGUUACAGGAGCGGCCUGUCAUCAUUGUCCGACAUCGGUUGCACCGACAUUGAGUGCGCGUGGGUGCCUACGGAAAAGAAUGUGCAACAAAUGUACAAUCCCGUGCCUCUCCGAGAUUUUUGUCACGUCGAAGCACCGAAGAGGCCUUCUGUUCCUGCAGGGAAAUCGCUGGAGUACACUAAAGGGCUGAAAGCGGUGUGCCCUGAGUCUGCAAUUGAGUUGCACAGGUUCUGCCUGAUAGCAGAAGAACGUGUAAGAAAGCCAACUUGAAAGAAAAGUAUGCGGCGAGGAGGAAGGAAGAUGGAAUGAGACGUGGGCAGACGAGAAAGGGAAUUUGUACAUCAGAUACCGCGCGCGAAGCCCGGCUAUCAGCAGCAAUUGCCCAGCGCAGAAUGAAAACGUGAUGAAUCAGCUUAGAUAAGCUUUGCCAAACUUUUCUUCGCUGUGCUGCUGCUCAGAGUUCUGGGGUGCUGCUCGUAGCGUGUGAAACGGGGUGAUUGCUACUUGUAAGGCUAGACCUGGUCCAUUUUUUGUUCAUGUGGGGAAUGGGGAUACCGUCGACGAAGACCAAUGUGUGUCCUGGGGCGACUUCUGAUGGAAAUGUGCCGUGGUAUGUGUGACAGCGUCUGAGGAAAAGCCCAGAAAUUAUCCUACAUUAUGCUGAAAAGAAAUUAUGCUCGAUAAGCUAAGAAAGCGAAUUCCGUAACCGCACCUCACUUGUUUCACUUUGUUACUUGCACCUUGUUACUCAGUGAUCACUGUAUCCUACGCUUCAGUUUGUUCUUGGCCUUAUCAUGAGGACACUUCAAUGCUUAAUUCCAAAUUUUGCGUCUUAGUCUCUUCCCGGCACCAUCAAGAAUGCUUGUCGGUUAUCAACUCCCUCCCUUAGAGAAAUAAAAAUAAGAAAAUAAACAA